rnacentral:rRNA from 1 species
UACGGGGGGGGCAAGCGUUGUUCGGAAUUACUGGGCGUAAAGGGCUCGUAGGCGGCCAACUAAGUCAGACGUGAAAUCCCUCGGCUUAACCGGGGAACUGCGUCUGAUACUGGUUGGCUUGAGUGUGGGAGAGGGAUGCGGAAUUCCAGGUGUAGCGGUGAAAUGCGUAGAUAUCUGGAGGAACACCGGUGGCGAAGGCGGCAUCCUGGACCAUUACUGACGCUGAGGCGCGAAAGCGUGGGGAGCAAACAGG